GACGGAGGGUGCUAGCGUUGUUCGGAAUUACUGGGCGUAAAGGGCGCGUAGGCGGCCGCCCGCGUCGGAUGUGAAAGCCCGGGGCUCAACCCCGGAACGGCAUCCGAGACGGGGCGGCUGGAGACCGGGAGAGGAGGGUGGAAUAGCCAGUGUAGAGGUGAAAUUCGUAGAUAUUGGCUGGAACACCGGUGGCGAAAGCGGCUCUCUGGCCCGGUUCUGACGCUGAGGCGCGAAAGCGUGGGGAGCAAACAGG
rnacentral:rRNA from 1 species